CCUACGGGUGGCAGCAGUGGGGAAUAUUGCACAAUGGGCGCAAGCCUGAUGCAGCCAUGCCGCGUGUGUGAAGAAGGCCUUCGGGUUGUAAAGCACUUUCAGCGGGGAGGAAGGCGGUGAGGUUAAUAACCUCAUCGAUUGACGUUACCCGCAGAAGAAGCACCGGCUAACUCCGUGCCAGCAGCCGCGGUAAUACGGAGGGUGCAAGCGUUAAUCGGAAUUACUGGGCGUAAAGCGCACGCAGGCGGUCUGUCAAGUCGGAUGUGAAAUCCCCGGGCUCAACCUGGGAACUGCAUUCGAAACUGGCAGGCUAGAGGCUUGUAGAGGGGGGUAGAAUUCCAGGGGUAGCGGUGAAAUGCGUAGAGAUCUGGAGGAAUACCGGUGGCGAAGGCGGCCCCCUGGACAAAGACUGACGCUCAGGUGCGAAAGCGUGGGGAGCAAACAGGAUUAGAUACCCGAGUAGUC
rnacentral:rRNA from 1 species